rnacentral:lncRNA from 1 species
UUUUCUAUGGCAAGCCGUUCUCGUCAAAACUAUGUUUAAACCAUUUUUCGAAAAAUUUACACACUGAGAAUUACAAAAAAGCACACUGAGAUUUAAAAACUUCAAUACGCACACUGAGAAUUGAAAAUUACACACUGAGAAUUAAAAAUUACACACUGAGAUUUCAUAAAGACGCACUGAGAUUACAAAAAUGAAAAAUGCACACUGAGAAUUGAAUAUUAUACACUGAGAAUAAAUAAACUGAAAACACACACUGAGAAUUUGAAAUUACACACUGAGAAUUUAAAAUUACACACUGAGAUUUGUGCGCACUUUUUAUGCGCACAUAUCUAAUUAGCAUACUUAAUCUGAAUCUAUUACAAGCUUAAAACAACAAGGGGACAGAACUCGUUAGUCCUUCGAUUUGGUUCCAAAUUAUUAAUAAAAAAAA